rnacentral:misc_RNA from 1 species
UUGUGGAGGAGGACGCCGAAGGUGGGGCUAAUGACUGGGGUGAAGUCGUAACAAGGUAGCCGUACCGGAAGGUGCGGCUGGAUCACUCCUAACAGGGAGACAUAAACUGAUUAUGAUGUCUGAUUUAUAAAUUUAGGCCGUAAUCCUGUCACCUUAGGUCGAUCGGUACCUCAGAUUAUUAACUGUGAAAUUGAGAAAUCAUUUAUCAUUAGUCUUUUAAUUUCAGUUCCUAAACUUGUCUAGGUCACACCCAACAAACUUUCUCCUGGGCUAUUAGCUCAGGCGGUUAGAGCGCACCCCUGAUAAGGGUGAGGUCCCUGGUUCAAGUCCAGGAUGGCCCAUUCGUUGUUGGGGGUAUAGCUCAGUUGGUAGAGCGCCUGCUUUGCAAGCAGGAUGUCAGCGGUUCGAGUCCGCUUACCUCCACUGAUCAACUACCUGAUAACUCAAUUUGGAGAUUGUUUUUUGUUUAAUGUGAUUUAGAUGUUGUUCAUCUGAACGAACCUAGCUUCCUAUCACACCUUUUAGUAUGGAAGGCUGAUAAGACGCUGGGCUCACUGAUAUUCAAUAGAAUAUCAGUUUGAUUCAGUAGAACCUUGACAACUGCAUAGGAAAGUCUAGAAAGAAUAAAGCAUCUCAUAGAUGCAUAGAUUUAGUUGUUUUCAGAAUUUCUGCAAAUAAUUAAUAUCUAUGUUCAAUUCUUGAGUCAGAGCUUAAUAUCUAUAACUUUGAUUAACUUAGAAAUAAGUUUUUUAUCUAAUUAACUUUAGUAAGUUCUAGAUAUUAUUAAUGGUCAAGCUACAA